UGAUGGAGGAAUAGACGUGCACGAAGAGCGGAUGGAGAGAAGCAGAUGAGGGUUGGACACACUCUGAGAGAGGUCACAGCAGGAGAGGAGAAGCUCUGCAUCUCAUUCAUCCAUGUCUAGCAGCCCGGAGGUCUCUCUCAUCCCUGAGUGAUAUUAACGAUCCACAGAAACAUGACUCUGGUUCUGGAUCUUAGUCCAUAUUGUCUCUGCUUCCCAACAUUAUUGAUUCCCUUGUUCUCUAUCUUUAUCAAGCCCUCCCCUCCUCUCUCCUUGCUGCCCAAAAGGGGUAUCUGAGACUGGCUGGGGUGGAUAACAGACUCAUCAGGGGUCAGGAUUAGGGCCUCUCUGCCUUGGCCACAAAUCUGCUACUGUCCCAAUGCCAGACGUCACCUCUCCCCCCAGAUACAUACACAGUGGAUAGAGACAGGGAUGAGAAUGGAUGACUGACAGUGUGUGGGGUCAGGACUCAACUGAG